rnacentral:rRNA from 1 species
AGCUCCAAUAGCGUAUAUUAAAGUUGUUGUGGUUAAAAAGCUCGUAGUUGGAUCUCAGGUGCAGGCGGGCGGUCCGGCUCGCGCCGGUUCACUGCCCGUAUUUCCUGCCCUACCGUCUGUCGGCUCUCUCCCGCGGGUGCUCUUCGCUGAGCGUCCCGGGUGGCCGGCGCGUUUACUUUGAAAAAAUUAGAGUGUUCAAAGCAGGCCUCGGCUGCCUGAAUAAUGGUGCAUGGAAUAAUGGAAUAGGACCUCGGUUCUAUUUUGUUGGUUUUCGGAACUGGAGGUAAUGAUUAACAGGGACAAACGGGGGCAUUCGUAUUGCGGCGUUAGAGGUGAAAUUCUUGGAUCGCCGCAAGACGAGCUACUGCGAAAGCAUUUGUCAAGAAUGUUUUCA